rnacentral:rRNA from 1 species
AUUGAACGCUGGCGGCAUGCUUUACACAUGCAAGUCGAACGGCAGCGCGGGCUUCGGCCUGGCGGCGAGUGGCGAACGGGUGAGUAAUACAUCGGAACGUGCCCAGUAGUGGGGGAUAGCUCGGCGAAAGCCGGAGUAAUACCGCAUACGACCUGAGGGUGAAAGCGGGGGAUCUUCGGACCUCGCGCUAUUGGAGCGGCCGAUGGCAGAUUAGCUAGUUGGUGGGGUAAAGGCCUACCAAGGCGACGAUCUGUAGCUGGUCUGAGAGGACGACCAGCCACACUGGAACUGAGACACGGCCCAGACUCCUACGGGAGGCAGCAGUGGGGAAUUUUGGACAAUGGGCGAAAGCCUGAUCCAGCAAUGCCGCGUGUGUGAUGAAGGCCUUCGGGUUGUAAAGCACUUUUGGCGGGAACGAAAAGGACUGUGCCAAUACCACGGCUCGAUGACGGUACCCGCAGAAUAAGCACCGGCUAACUACGUG